rnacentral:rRNA from 1 species
CCUACGGGAGGCAGCAGUAAGGAAUAUUGGUCAAUGGAGGCAACUCUGAACCAGCCAUGCCGCGUGCAGGAAGACUGCCCUAUGGGUUGUAAACUGCUUUUAUCCGGGAAUAAACCUGCUUACGUGUAAGUAGCUGAAUGUACCGGAAGAAUAAGGAUCGGCUAACUCCGUGCCAGCAGCCGCGGUAAUACGGAGGAUCCAAGCGUUAUCCGGAUUUAUUGGGUUUAAAGGGUGCGUAGGCGGCCUGUUAAGUCAGGGGUGAAAGACGGUAGCUCAACUAUCGCAGUACCCUUGAUACUGAUGGGCUUGAAUGGACUAGAGGUAGGCGGAAUGAGACAAGUAGCGGUGAAAUGCAUAGAUAUGUCUCAGAACACCGAUUGCGAAGGCAGCUUACUAUGGUCUUAUUGACGCUGAGGCACGAAAGCGUGGGGAUCAAACAGGAUUAGAUACCCCGGUAGUCCACGCCCUAAACGAUGAACACUCGCUGUUGGCGAUACACAGUCAGCGGCUAAGCGAAAGCGUUAAGUGUUCACCUGGGAGUACGCCCGCAAGGGUGAACGUCAAAGAGAGUAGAGGCGUGAGAGNGACGACGGACGACGACGAGGGAGGAGG